AAAGUUGAAGAUUUUACUCAGAGAUGGAAGAUGAAGUUUCGAAAGGAAAAUCCGACGAUGGUUGAUGUGGAAUUGGAUAUCUAUGGAUUAUGGGCUUAUGAUUCUGCAACUGCAUUAGCCAUGGCGGUAGAGAAAUCGAGAAUCAAUGGCGCCUUUUUUCGAAAACCAAAUGUUUCAGGAAAUGCAACAGAUCUUGAAGCUUUUGGAGUUUCCAGAGAUGGUCCAAAGCUUCUUAAAGCUAUACUAAACACUACUUUCAAAGGCCUUAGCGGAGACUUUCAACUUGUGGAUGGA
rnacentral:misc_RNA from 1 species